rnacentral:rRNA from 1 species
CACGGGGGGAGCAAGCGUUGUUCGGAAUCACUGGGCGUAAAGGGCGCGUAGGCGGCCUGCUAAGUCGGAUGUGAAAUCCCUCGGCUCAACCGAGGAACUGCAUCCGAUACUGGCGGGCUUGAAUCCGGGAGAGGGAUGUGGAAUUCCAGGUGUAGCGGUGAAAUGCGUAGAUAUCUGGAGGAACACCGGUGGCGAAGGCGGCAUCCUGGACCGGUAUUGACGCUGAGGCGCGAAAGCUAGGGGAGCAAACGGG